rnacentral:rRNA from 1 species
CUGGUUGAUCCUGCCAGUAGCAUAUGCCUGACCUGGAGAUUAAGCCAUGCAUGUCUAAGUAUAAGUUAUACAAAGCGAAACUGCGAAUGGCUCAUUAAAACAGAAAUAAUUUAUUUGAUGAUCUUCUUACAUGGAUAACCGUGGGAAACUGGGGCUAAUACAUGCGAAAAUGCCUAACGGCUGUAUUUAUUAGUUUCAAACCUUUAAUAACUUCGUUAUUUAGUGAGGAAUCAUAAUAACUAAUCGGAGCGAUGAAAGUCGCUACAUCAUUCAAGUUUCUGCCCUAUCAGCUUGAUGGUAGUGUAUUGGACUACCAUGGCAAUCACGGGUAACGGGGAAUUAGGGUUCGAUUCCGGAGAAGGAGCCUGAGAAACGGCUACUAUUUCUAAGGAAGGCAGCAGGCGCGUAAAUUACCCAAUCCUGACUCAGGGAGGUAGUUAAUGGAAAUAACCAGUCCGUCUCAUAGAGACUUGGACUAGUAAUGAAUAGAAUUUAGAAACUUCUUUGAAUACUAUUGGAGGGCAAGUCUGGU